rnacentral:rRNA from 1 species
UACGUAGGUCCCGAGCGUUGUCCGGAUUUAUUGGGCGUAAAGGGUGCGUAGGCGGUGUAGCAAGUUAGAAGUGAAAUACCUAGAGCUUAACUCAGGUGCUGCUUCUAAAACUGCUAUACUUGAGUGCAGUAGAGGAAAGUGGAAUUCCUAGUGUAGCGGUGGAAUGCGUAGAUAUUAGGAGGAACAUCAGUGGCGAAGGCGACUUUCUGGACUGUAACUGACGCUGAGGCACGAAAGUGUGGGGAGCAAACAGG